rnacentral:rRNA from 1 species
CCUACGGGUGGCAGCAGUGAGGAAUAUUGGUCAAUGGGCGGCAGCCUGAACCAGCCAAGUCGCGUGAGGGAAGAAGGUCCUACGGGUCGUAAACCUCUUUUGUCGGGGAGCAAGGGAGGGGACGUGUCCCGGCCCGGAGAGUCCCCGGAGAAAAAGCAUCGGCUAACUCCGUGCCAGCAGCCGCGGUAAUACGGAGGAUGCGAGCGUUAUCCGGAUUUAUUGGGUUUAAAGGGGGCGUAGGCGGGCGUGUAAGUCGGCGGUAAAAAUUAGGGGCUCAACCCCGUCCAGCCGUUGAAACUGGGUGCCUUGAGUGGGCGAGAAGAAGGCGGAAUGCGUGGUGUAGCGGUGAAAUGCAUAGAUAUCACGCAGAACCCCGAUUGCGAAGGCAGCCUUCCGGCGCCCUACUGACGCUGAUGCACGAAAGUGCGGGUAUCGAACAGGAUUAGAUACCCCAGUAGUC